rnacentral:rRNA from 1 species
AGCGAACGCUGGCGGCAGGCUUAACACAUGCAAGUCGAGCGCCUGUAGCAAUACAGGAGCGGCAGACGGGUGAGUAACACGUGGGAACGUGCCCUUUGGUUCGGAACAACCCAGGGAAACUUGGGCUAAUACCGGAUACGUCCGUAAGGAGAAAGAUUUAUCGCCAAAGGAUCGGCCCGCGUCUGAUUAGCUAGUUGGUGGGGUAAUGGCUCACCAAGGCUACGAUCAGUAGCUGGUCUGAGAGGAUGAUCAGCCACACUGGGACUGAGACACGGCCCAGACUCCUACGGGUGGCUG